rnacentral:rRNA from 1 species
ACUCCUACGGGAGGCAGCAGUGGGGAAUAUUGCACAAUGGGCGCAAGCCUGAUGCAGCCAUGCCGCGUGUGUGAAGAAGGCCUUGGGUUGUAAAGCACUUUCAGUCGUGAGGAAGGUAGUGUAGUUAAUAGCUGCAGUAUUUGACGUUAGCGACAGAAGAAGCACCGGCUAACUCCGUGCCAGCAGCCGCGGUAAUACGGAGGGUGCGAGCGUUAAUCGGAAUUACGUGGGCGUAAAGCGCAUGCAGGUGGUUGUUAAGUCAGAUGUGAAAGCCCGGGGCGUCAACCUCGGAAUAGCAUUUGAAACUGGCAGACUAGAGUACUGUAGAGGGGGUAGAAUUUCAGGUGUAGCGGUGAAAUGCGUAGAGAUCUGAAGGAAUACCGGUGGCGAAGGCGGCCCCUGGACAGAUACUGACACUCAGAUGCGAAAGCGUGGGAGCAAACAGGAUUAGAUACCCCUGGUAGACUGU